rnacentral:rRNA from 1 species
UACGAAGGGGGCUAGCGUUGUUCGGAAUCACUGGGCGUAAAGGGCGCGUAGGCGGCUAGAUAAGUCGGGGGUGAAAAGCCUGUGGCUCAACCACAGAAUUGCCUUCGGAUACUGUCUGGCUUGAGACCGGAAGAGGUUAGUGGAACUGCGAGUGUAGAGGUGAAAUUCGUAGAUAUUCGCAAAGAACACCAGUGGCGAAGGCGGCUGACUGGUCCGGUU